rnacentral:rRNA from 1 species
GACGAACGCUGGCGGCGUGCCUAAUACAUGCAAGUAGAACGCUGAAGGAGGAGCUUGCUUCUCUGGAUGAGUUGCGAACGGGUGAGUAACGCGUAGGUAACCUGCCUGGUAGCGGGGGAUAACUAUUGGAAACGAUAGCUAAUACCGCAUAACAGUAGAUAUCGCAUGAUAUCUACUUGAAAGGUGCAAUUGCAUCACUACCAGAUGGACCUGCGUUGUAUUAGCUAGUUGGUGAGGUAACGGCUCACCAAGGCGACGAUACAUAGCCGACCUGAGAGGGUGAUCGGCCACACUGGGACUGAGACACGGCCCAGACUCCUACGGGAGGCGGCAGUAGGGAAUCUUCGGCAAUGGACGGAAGUCUGACCGAGCAACGCCGCGUGAGUGAAGAAGGUUUUCGGAUCGUAAAGCUCUGUUGUAAGAGAAGAACGAGUGUGAGAGUGGAAAGUUCACACUGUGACGGUAUCUUACCAGAAAGGGACGGCUAACUACGUG